AAGUUCCAGUCAGUACCUGGCAGGUCUCUACAGGUAAAGUUCCAGUCAGUACCUGGCAGGUCUCUACAGGUAAAGUUCCAGUCAGUACCUGGUAAGUCUCUACAGGUAAAGUUCCAGUCAGUACCUGGUAAGUCUCUACAGGUAAAGUUCCAGUCAGUACCUGGUAGGUCUCUACAGGUAAAGUUCCAGUCAGUACCUGGUAAGUCUCUACAGGUAAAGUUCCAGUCAGUACCUGGUAAGUCUCUACAGGUAAAGUUCCAGUCAGUACCUGGUAAGUCUCUACAGGUAAAGUUCCAGUCAGUACCUGGUAGGUCUCUACAGGUAAAGUUCCAGUCAGUACCUGGUAAGUCUCUACAGGUAAAGUUCCAGUCAGUACCUGGUAAGUCUCUACAGGUAAAGUUCCAGUCAGUACCUGGUAGGUCUCUACAGGUAAAGUUCCAGUCAGUACCUGGUAGGUCUCUACAGGUAAAGUUCCAGUCAGUACCUGGUAGGUCUCUACAGGUAAAGUUCCAGUCAGUACCUGGUAGGUCUCUACAGGUAAAGUUCCAGUCAGUACCUGGUAGGUCUCUACAGGUAAAGUUCCAUUCAGUACCUGGUAGGUCUCUACAGGUAAAGUUCCAUUCAGUACCUGGUAGGUCUCUACAGGUAAAGUUCUAGUCAGUACCUGGUAAGUCUCUACAGGUAAAGUUCCAGUCAGUACCUGGUAAGUCUCUACAGGUAAAGUUCCAGUCAGUACCUGGUAGGUCUCUACAGGUAAAGUUCCAGUCAGUACCUGGUAAGUCUCUACAGGUAAAGUUCCAGUCAGUACCUGGUAAGUCUCUACAGGUAAAGUUCCAGUCAGUACCUGGUAGGUCUCUACAGGUAAAGUUCCAGUCAGUACCUGGUAGGUCUCUACAGGUAAAGUUCCAGUCAGUACCUGGUAGGUCUCUACAGGUAAAGUUCCAGUCAGUACCUGGUAGGUCUCUACAGGUAAAGUUCCAGUCAGUACCUGGUAGGUCUCUACAGGUAAAGUUCCAGUCAGUACCUGGUAGGUCUCUACAGGUAAAGUUCAAGUCAGUACCUGGUAGGUCUCUACAGGUAAAGUUCAAGUCAGUACCUGGUAGGUCUCUACAGGUAAAGUUCCAGUCACUCCCUGGUAAGUCUCUACAGGUAAAGUUCCAGUCAGAACCUGGUAGGUCUCUACGGGUAAAGUUCCAGUCAGAACCUGGUAAGUCUCUACAGGUAAAGUUAAAGUCACUACCUGGUAAGUCUCUACAGGUAAAGUUCUAGUCAGUACCUGGUAAGUCUCUACAGGUAAUGUUAAAGUCAGUAGGUCUCUACAGGUAGGUCUCUACAGGUAAUGUUAAAGUCAGUACCUGGUAGGUCUCUACAGGUAGGUCUCUACAGGUACAGUUAAAGUCAGUACCUGGUAGGUCUCUACAGGUAGGUCUCUACA